rnacentral:rRNA from 1 species
AAGGGCACUCUGAUGGGACUGCCGGUGACAAACCGGAGGAAGGUGGGGAUGACGUCAAGUCCUCAUGGCCCUUAUAGGUGGGGCGUACACACGUCAUACAAUGGCCGGUACAAAGGGCAGCCAACCCGCGAGGGGGAGCCAAUCUCAAAAAACCCAUCAUAGUCCGGAUUGCAGUCUGCAACUCGACUGCAUGAAGUUGGAAUCGCUAGUAAUCCCGGAUCAGCAUGCCGGGGUGAAUACGUUCCCGGGCCUU